UACAGGGGGGGCAAGCGUUGUUCGGAAUUACUGGGCGUAAAGGGCGCGUAGGCGGCCUGCUAAGUCGAACGUGAAAUCCCCGGGCUCAACCCGGGAACUGCGUCCGAUACUGGCAGGCUUGAAUCCGGGAGAGGGAUGUGGAAUUCCAGGUGUAGCGGUGAAAUGCGUAGAUAUCUGGAGGAACACCGGUGGCGAAGGCGGCAUCCUGGACCGGUAUUGACGCUGAUGCGCGAAAGCCAGGGGAGCAAACGGG
rnacentral:rRNA from 1 species